UACGUAGGGUGCGAGCGUUGUUCGGAAUUACUGGGCGUAAAGGGCUUGUAGGUGGCCAACUAAGUCAGACGUGAAAUCCCUCGGCUUAACCGGGGAACUGCGUCUGAUACUGGAUGGCUUGAGUGUGGGAGAGGGAUGCGGAAUUCCAGGUGUAGCGGUGAAAUGCGUAGAUAUCUGGAGGAACACCGGUGGCGAAGGCGGCAUCCUGGACCAUUACUGACACUGAAAAGCGAAAGCCAGGGGAGCAAACGGG
rnacentral:rRNA from 1 species